CUACGGGAUGCACCAGUGGGGAAUAUUGGACAAUGGGGGAAACCCUGAUCCAGCAAUGCCGCGUGUGUGAAGAAGGCCUGCGGGUUGUAAAGCACUUUCGGUUGGGAGGACUGCUUCUAGCACUAAUAUUGUUGGAAGUUGACGUUACCUUCAGAAGAAGCACCGGCUAGCUCCGUGCCAGCAGCCGCGGUAAUACGUAGGGGCAAGCGUUAAUCGGAAUUACUGGGCGUAAAGCGCGCGUAGGCGGCUAGAUCAGUCGGGUGUGAAAGCCCCGGGCUUAACCUGGGAACCGCAUCCGAUACUGUCUAGCUUGAGUACAGGAGAGGAGAGUGGAAUUCCACAUGUAGCGGUGAAAUGCGUAGAUAUGUGGAGGAACACCAAUGGCGAAGGCAGCUCUCUGGCCUGAUACUGACGCUGAGGUGCGAAAGCGUGGGGAGCAAACAGGAUUAGAUACCCGAGUAGUC
rnacentral:rRNA from 1 species